rnacentral:rRNA from 1 species
GACGAGCGCUGGCGGCGUGCUUAACACAUGCAAGUCGAACGAUGAAGGAGAGCUUGCUCUCCGGAUUAGUGGCGAACGGGUGAGUAACACGUGACUAACCUGCCCCUUUCUCUGGGAUAACGCUCCGAAAGGAGUGCUAAUACCGGAUACGCACUCUGAACCCAUGUUACGAGUUGGAAAGUUUUUGGGAAAGGGAUGGAGCCGCGGCCUAUCAGCUUGUUGGUGAGGUAACGGCUCACCAAGGCGACGACGGGUAGCCGGCCUGAGAGGGCGACCGGCCACACUGGGACUGAGACACGGCCCAGACUCCUACGGGAGGCAGCAGUGGGGAAUAUUGCACAAUGGGCGAAAGCCUGAUGCAGCGACGCCGCGUGAGGGAUGAAGGUCUUCGGAUUGUAAACCUCUUUCAGUAGGGACGAAGCGAAAGUGACGGUACCUAAAGAAGAAGCACCGGCUAACUACGUGCCAGCAGCCGCCGCCG